CUUAGGAGGGGAGAGGCGCGGGAUCGGGACGUUCGAGGGAACGGCGUGCGGCAACGAGGGAGGGGCGGCGGUGGCAGGGGUGUAGCUACUUACCAUACUCCCAGUAUACCAAAGUCCCGCGGCCGACUCGCUCCGCGGCAGAUAGCAGUCGCUAGCACACCACGCGCUUCUCAGCGCCGCUCGGGCAAACGGAGAAAGGCCCGGUCUCUCUCGCGAAAAUGGCAGAAAAUCAUCGCGGCUACGGCCACGGCCGCGGCACGUGUUCUUUGGCCUCAGCGCGGGCCACCGCCGCUCGGGAAACAGACGGUCGAGUCGUACGUACGUGUCCGUGAUUCGCGGCGAGAUCGACCGCCGAGCGAACGGUCGGAGGAAGCGAUGCGACGAGGAUGGAACGCGACCAGGACGAACCACGAGGAUCCAGAGAGAAGACGGAGAGUGCCGGACGACGACCGCUAUCAACGCCGGCACCGGCAUAGGAUCACGAUCGGGGGACGUUGUUCCGCGUUUCGAGCGGUUCCGGUCACGUCGGUCACGUGGUCGCCGAUCUCGCAGCCCUCCCCCUUGCCGUGAACCACCGCCGCCAGACCCCCUAAGACGGCUUUCCCACCAGGGAGGGGGAGUAUCAACGGUGACCGGGUGGGGGCGGCGGAUCGGCCGACAACAGUGGAACGGAGACGAAAGGAGAGGAGCGGCCCAAGGGGUGGGAGAAAACGAGAGAGCGAGACGAACGUUUGGUUAACGUUGAAGAGAGACGAAGAGGACAAAGAGGAAAGAAGGACGCGGACGAUGGAAGAGACAGCCUCGAUCACGACCACGUGGGAGUCGACGUCGGCUAGAGGCAACUCCGACGGCGACUUAGAAGAAGGUGAAAGUGUAAACAGUACGGUACGUGGAGGAUGUAAACGGAGGAAAUUACAGGAAUAAAGGGAAGGAAGGAUGAAGGAGACAAUAAGGAAGGAAGGAAGGAAGGGCGGAAGGAAGGAAGGAAGGAAGGAAGGAAGGAAGGAAGGAAGGAAGGAAGGAAGGAAGAAGGAAGGGCGCCGUCGUAGCCCGGGUACCCGUGGCUCCGCCUAUCGGCGCGCCGCCUCGCGGUGGUGAAUACAUUUAGCCUGAUGAGGAAAGACUCGGGACGGACGUCGGCUACCCCUACCAGGAGUGGUGCCAGUGUUCCUUGCUCUGCUCCCUAUGCUAUGCUCGACUCGGCCCAGCUCCUCGUCGCUCGUAGGAUGGAUAUAGAACCCUUAGUUCGUAUUCCUCUCCCUGUCUGCCAGGAACCCCGGUGUGCUCUCUCUGCUGGCUAGCUGCGCGUUCACGCCACGUUCCGCUCUUCCUUCGCCCGUUUCCCGUAGUUGCUCGAGUCGCGGAAAUCAACUCCAGUCUACUCGAGUCCGUUCGAGUCUAUCCGUUCGAACCGCUCAGUGAAAACUCUAAGUGGCUCUGGUCGUCUUGGUCUGUGCUUGGUGUUGGUGGUUCCAAGGUGUACGUCGGAGAUCACGUGUCUAGCGCACGUCGAAGGAGUCACGUGCUUGGUCGCCGCGCCGACAUCCGGAGGAUCUCUUCGACUGAAUCAUACCGAUGGUAUCCCCUAGCGGGAAGACGGACGAACACGGAAGGGACUACGAAUUAUAAUCACAGUUGUGGUUCGUGCGGCUACGGGGGUGGAUCGAGGUGGACGAUGGAAGAGGAGCAAGAGGUGGAGGAGGGCGACGACGACGACGACGUUCGUCCGCUCGAGGGGAUGGAAAAGGGUGUAUUUACCCAGCAACGGUAUACACCGGCGCCACCGAGGACGGACCUAGAUGGAAAUCUGCGGCAUUCAGAGGCACUGGGCAAGAAAAUUGGCUGACAACAUUUCGCACGGCCGUCGAAUUGCCGAUCCCGUCCCCUUCCUGGACAGGAGGCCGUGUUCACCGAUAUUUACGCCGGACGAACUUGACGCAUCGUUCUAAUCGUCCUGGCAAUUUAUCCUUCCUUUCCUAUGCCGGAUGCACGAUCCGCGGCAUAAAAUCGCGAUCGGUCUGGUCGUAGCACGUAAUCCGCUCGACGCAACGACGACAUGCCAGUUAUUUCUUUGCUCUUUCGGCGUUACAAAGCCCCGAAUAAACGUUCGAUCCGAAGGGGAUUUAACUAGAAUCGAAACGGAGAAAAGCGUUUGUCGUGCUGAAUGUGACGGAGACCCGUUAACGAGCAACGUCGCACGACAAUAUCGAAUGGCCGCGUUUAUUUCGGCGAAAGGCUUGGAGGCGUUUCCGACGAGAAAGCCCUAAUGAUCGCCUCGUGCCGACAACCGGCGAAUCCCGGCCAAAUAAAUCCGGCUUGAUUGAAUCAUUGUUAAGCGAAACCGCGUUAAAUACCCGUGAAAUUAACCCGGACGAUCCGUGCGCGGCACGCGAUCACUGAUUGGCUCCAGGGUAUCGCCUUUAAAGUGCCAUUAGAGGGCACCUCGUUCUCCACUCCGAAACCAUUGAUUAAUGACUUGUCCGCAACACCGAGCCACGUCUCUUACAACGAAAUCUUCCGCUAACGUGUCCUACGAACCAUCCUGCACCAGGCGCCUCUCGACCCUUUUCGUCUUUUUCUCGAAUUCCGAGAAUUUCACCGGGAUUAUACCAACGUCCGUGCAAACUUAAUCAGUAAACAAUUUAUUGUUCCAAUAAACGUCGGUCGAUCGGUGGCUCCAAGGGACGCACGAACCCAACCGGCAAACCUGUCGCAUCCUUUUCAUCUGGCUCGUGAUAAUUCCGUCUUUGAGCCAGCUCCGAUACAGUCCGCGGUCGGACAUUAGGGUGAUGGCGCGGACAUAUGGGAGCACCAUGUGGUCACCACCGUGUCAGCGAAAGCGGAGAGAGAGAAAGAGUAUAGAACCCCUGAGAGCAAGGCGACCGCAGGAGGCGAUUGGGAUAUAGGCGACCACAGAUUCAAACGGAUCCGACGGCUAAACGCUCGCCGCAAUUUGUAGCAAUUU